rnacentral:rRNA from 1 species
GUCCUAGCCGUAAACGUUGGGUGCUAGGUGUGGGAGGACAUCGACCCCUUCCGUGCCGAAGCUAACGCAUUAAGCACCCCGCCUGGGGAGUACGGCCGCAAGGCUAAAACUCAAAGGAAUUGACGGGGGCCCGCACAAGCGGCGGAGCAUGCGGCUUAAUUCGAUGCAACGCGAAGAACCUUACCUGGGUUUGACAUGCAGGGUGAAACCGUCGAAAGACGGCGCUCUUCGGAGCCUGCACAGGUGGUGCAUGGCUGUCGU